rnacentral:rRNA from 1 species
GCACAAGCGGUGGAGCAUGUGGUUUAAUUCGACGCAACGCGCAGAACCUUACCAGGGUUUGACAUCCUGUGCUCACCGGAGAGAUCCGGUUUCCCCGCAAGGGGCGCAGAGACAGGUGCUGCAUGGCUGUCGUCAGCUCGUGUCGUGAGAUGUUGGGUUAAGUCCCGCAACGAGCGCAACCCUCGCCUUUAGUUGCCAUCAUUAAGUUGGGCACUCUAGAGGGACCGCCGGCGACAAGCCGGAGGAAGGUGGGGAUGACGUCAAGUCCUCAUGGCCCUUACACCCUGGGCUACACACGUGCUACAAUGGCGGUGACAGUGGGCAGCCAACUCGCGAGAGUGAGCUAAUCCCAAAAAACCGUCCCAGUUCAGAUUGCACUCUGCAACUCGGGUGCAUGAAGGUGGAAUCGCUAGUAAUCGCAGAACAGCAGGCUGCGGUGAAUACGUUCCCGGGC